GGGAAACCUUCAGGCUAGGCCAUUGGGCAAAUGUGUGCCCAGUUUUUGGAUCCAGGACCUCUCAACUCUCCUGCGCUGUUGGACAGACCAGGCUGGAUUUGACUCCAGGAUGGUGGCCCUGAGGUUGGUCCAGCCAUGGUCCACAAAGUGCUGGACCAGAGGGAUGUGCAGGUUCUUUUGCCUAUUUAUAUUGUACCUGUGUUGGGUGAAUCUAACUAAUAGGGAGUUUCCUGACUCUCCCACAUAUUGUUUGGUACAUUGUAUGCAUCUGAUUAAAUAAAUGAUGUUUUUCUGAUGUACAGUUGUGUUCCUUUGGGUCAAAAAAACUUCUUUUGAUGUCUGAUUCUGUACCAUCCUAUAAUUUCUAUAAAAAUCUC